rnacentral:rRNA from 2 species
CUUCGGGUGUGAGUGGCAGACGGGUGAGUAACGCGUGGGAAUUUACCUCAAGCUUUGGGAUAACACAGAGAAAUUUGUGCUAAUACCGGAUGCGCUGAUAUAAAGGGAUUUAUGUCGGGAAAGAUUUAUCGGUUUGAGAUAAGCCCGCGUUGGAUUAGCUAGUUGGUAGGGUAAUGGCCUACCAAGGCGACGAUCCAUAGCUGGUCUGAGAGGAUGAUCAGCCACACUGGGACUGAGACACGGCCCAGAUUCCUACGGGAGGCAGCAGUGGGGAAUAUUGGACAAUGGGCGCAAGCCUGAUCCAGCCAUGCCGCGUGAGUGAUGACGGCCUUAGGGUUGUAAAGCUCUUUCACCGGAGAAGAUAAUGACGGUAUCCGGAGAAGAGGCCCCGGCUAACUUCGUGCCAGCAGCCGCGGUAAUACGAAGGGGGCUAGCGUUGUUCGGAUUUACUGGGCGUAAAGCGCGCGUAGGCGGAUAUUUAAGUCAGGGGUGAAAUCCCGGGGCUCAACCCCGGAACUGCCUUUGAUACUGGAUAUCUUGAGUAUGGAAGAGGUGAGUGGAAUUCCGAGUGUAGAGGUGAAAUUCGUAGAUAUUCGGAGGAACACCAGUGGCGAAGGCGGCUCACUGGUCCAUUACUGACGCUGAGGUGCGAAAGCGUGGGGAGCAAACAGGAUUAGAUACCCUGGUAGUCCACGCUGUAAACGAUGAAUGUCAGCUGUU